UCGGAGAGUUUGAUCCUGGCUCAGGACGAACGCUGGCGGCGUGCCUAACACAUGCAAGUCGUGCGCGAAAGGGCUAGCUUCGGGCCUGAGUAGAGCGGCGAACGGGUGAGUAACGCGUGGCUAACCGUACCCUCAGUGGGGGAUAACCCGGGAAAGGCGGGCUAAUACCGCAUGAUCUCCCGGGUACCGGUGUAUCAUCGGGAGCAAAGGCAGCAAGUCGCGCUGAAGGGAUGGGCCUGCGUCCCAUUAGCUAGUUGGUAGGGUAACGGCCUACCAAGGCGACGAUGGGUAGCUGGUCUGAGAGGAUGGCCAGCCACACUGGGACUGAGAUACGGCCCAGACUCCUACGGGGGGCAGCAGUGGGGAAUUGUGGCAAUGCCCGAAAGGGUGACCAGCGACGCCGCGUGAGGGAUGAAGUCUUCGGGUGUAAACCUCUGUCCAGGGAAGAACGGGCGUGCAUCGAGGGCUGUACGGUACCAGAGGAAGAGCCCGGCUAACUACGUGCCAGCAGCCGCGGUAAUACGUAGGGGCGCAAGCGUUGUCCGGAAUUACUGGGCGUAAAGGGCGUGUAGGCGGCUCGGCGAAGUCAGGAGUGAAAUCCCCGGCUCUCAACGGGGAGGUCUCUCUGAAACUGCUGAUCUUGAGUGGCAGGAGGAGGUGGAAUUCCGGUGUAGCGGUGAAAUGCGUAGAUAUCGGGAGGAACACCGGUGGCGAAGGCGGCCUCUGGGCCUGUUCACUGACGCUGAGGCGCGAAAGCCAGGGGAGCAAACGGGAUUAGAUACCCGGGUAGUCCUAGCUGUAAACGAUGGUGACUAGGUGUGGAGGUGAACCUCCGUGCCGCAGCUAACGCAUUAAGUCACCCGCCUGGGGAGUACGGCCGCAAGGCUGAAACUCAAAGGAAUUGACGGGGGCCCGCACAAGCGGUGGAGCAUGUGGUUUAAUUCGAUGCAACGCGAAGAACCUUACCCGGGCUUGAACAUGCAGUAGCCUGCUGAAAGGUGGUGGAUGCCAGGCGCAACUCUCGGGUCCUGCAGAGGUGCUGCAUGGCUGUCGUCAGCUCGUGUCGUGAGAUGUUGGGUUAAGUCCCGCAACGAGCGCAACCCUUGCCCUUAGUUGCUCAGCGGUGGCCGCACUCUAAGGGGACUGCCGGCGAUAAGCGGAGGAAGGUGGGGAUGACGUCAAGUCCUCAUGGCCCUUACGUCCCGGGCUACACACGUGCUACAAUGGCCGAGUACAGAGGGAAGCGAAGCCGCGAGGCGGAGCAAAUCCCAGAAAACCGGCCCAGUUCAGAUUGCAGGCUGCAACUCGCCUGCAUGAAGUCGGAAUCGCUAGUAAUCGCGGAUCAGCCACGCCGCGGUGAAUACGUUCCCGGGCCUUGUACACACCGCCCGUCACGCCACGCAAGUCGGUCAUUACUGAAGGCCUGAGCAAGGGGCGGAGCGCGAAGGUAGGGCCGGUGAUGGGGCGAAGUCGUAACAAGGUAGCCGUACCGGAAGGUGCGGCUGGAUCACCUCCUUU
rnacentral:rRNA from 1 species